GUGCAAGAGAUACGGUAAUAACGUCAACCCUUGCUCAGAAGAUCAGAUACGUUCCUGAAUGUCUAAGGAACAGACCAGAGGAAACCUCCUUUUGAGGGAGUGGUUUUGAUUCUGAAACAGCAAAAAACCUGCAGGAUGCAAAGAUAUGAUGGUCCUCUUCGGGUCUCGGAGCAGCCAUGCAUUGCACUUGCCCAGGCAGGCAGAGAUCUUCAUGCUCAUCCUCUGUUUUCAAAGCAGGUACUGGAGCAGAACUAGCCCUGGCUAAGUGGAGG